rnacentral:rRNA from 1 species
AUUCCAGCUCCAAGAGCGUAUAUUAAAGUUGUUGCAGUUAAAAAGCUCGUAGUUGGAUUUCUGGUCUAAUGCGCCUGGCCCGCUGCCGUUAGGUAUGUGAGUGCCGGUGCGCGUUUACCAUCCUUCCAGAGAACACUUCUACCAUUUAUUUGGACGGAUGUUGUCUUCUGGAUCUUUUACUUUGAAAAAAUUAGAGUGUUUAAAGCAGGCCUUUGCUGUGAAUACAUUAGCAUGGAAUAAUAAUCUAGGACUUCGGUUCUAUUUUGUUGGUUUUCGGAAAUCGACUUAAUGAUUAAUAGGGACAGUCGGGGGCAUUUGUAUUCAAACGACAGAGGUGAAAUCCUUGGACCGUUUGAAGACUAACUACUGCGAAAGCAUUUGCCAAGAAUGUUUUCAUUG